CCGGAGGGAGAGUGUUGUCGCUUUCUCCGCCAUCUUUUGCAUAACCAGUCAAGUCGCUGAAGUGGCACUACUAUACUUUUUUCUUACUUCAGCUGUUUUGAAACAUUUCCGGUCACAGAAAAAUAUCAGCAUCUACAAACAGCAUUUCUGUUUAUCAGCUGACUGUGGGCCCUACAACAGCAGAUACCCAGGCUAACUACUUACGUUUUUGUAAAGAGACCAUAGAAAAAUCAAAAAUAAGCGCUUCAAAUUUACUCCUAAAUUUAAAAGCAGUGGGAAAAAGUGUUACAUUUAGAUAAAAAUAAAUAAAUAAAAAAUCCUGCUCAUAUUUUUAUGUAAACACCAGGAAACUGUGAUACUUGAUGAAAUCAUACCGUCAGAAUUUUGAUUAUUUUUUAUUACGAUGAAUUUUGACCAAGCUCCAAGGUUUAUUCAUCUAUUUUACCUUCAUGUCAUGCAUAUGUUUCCCCAAUGACUUUUUUUCUUAUGUUUUCCUCCAAAUUUUCCAUCCUCUUCCUGUGUUUCUUCCCCACUCCCUGGCCCCCACCUACCCUCGCAGUGAAGGUCAUUCUAAUAAAGAGCUCUCAUAGGAUUCAGCUGCUAAUUGCUCUGCGGCGCUCUAGCUGGUUUUAGAUCCAAAUAAAGGCACAUUGCCU